UACGUAGGUCCCGAGCGUUGUCCGGAAUUACUGGGUGUAAAGGGUGCGCAGGCGGUCUUGUGCGUCAGAAGUGAAAUAUCACGGCUUAACCGUGAGGGUGCUUUUGAAACGGCGAGACUUGAGUACGGGAGAGGAUGAUGGAAUUCCUGGUGUAGCAGUGAAAUGCGUAGAUAUCAGGAGGAACACCGGUGGCGAAGGCGGUCAUCUGGCCCGGUACUGACGCUCAGGCACGAAAGCGUGGGGAGCAAACAGG
rnacentral:rRNA from 1 species